rnacentral:tRNA from 1 species
GGAGAGGUGGCAGAGCGGUUGAAUGCGGCGGUCUCGAAAACCGUUAUACCCUCACGGGUAUCGAGGGUUCGAAUCCCUCCCUCUCCGCCA